CAUCAAGAAUGGAGUAUCAAAUAGCAGUUAACUGACUGAGAAGUUGCUCCAGCGAUGCUUGCUAACACACCUGCUUUGGACUGCGCCAUUUGUUUGAUUAACAACACUUGUUCUGUGCCCGCUUUACCUAUUAAUUAGGAGAGCUUAAGACACCUGAGUGCUCAAGUCCUCAUCCCAUCUAGCCUGAAGCAGGGCCGAGCUGGGCUACAGUGUGUCUGUCUUGAGCUGCAGAAACUUGACUCUUUAACUGGGACAGACAGUGCUGUCAAGACAAAGCUUCCAAGGAUACAGCCUCUCCAGCACCUUAAAUUUAUCCAACAGACUUCUGCCAGUCUGUCUAAAAUAACAGAGAAGUAGAGGUGAUUCCUGCUCUUCCUCUUUGAACUUGGGCCAGCCUUGUGAUUUGCCUUGACCAACUGGACAUGGAGGAAGUGAUACUGUGCCGGUGCUUAGCCCGGCCUUUUAGAGGCCUGGCAUCUUCAGCUCUCUCUCAGGAGAAUACUUGUACCUGGAUCUUCACUAGGGGUAAGUCCUUGUUCUCGAUUUUAAACAUUUAUUUAGCCAACUAAGUGCUCUAUUAAUUCUAGUUGAAGGGGAGAUGCAGAGACAGUGUUCUAGUUGCUAAUGCUGUGUGAGAAAGCACCCCAGAAGGUCGUAGGUGAAACAACUAUCUUAAGAUGCUGGCUGAUCGGGGCUGGGGCAUUCAGAAGGGCCAAAGCAAGAGUGGCUUGUCCCUGCUCUAUGGUUCUUGGAUAACUCAAAGGGCUGGGGGCUGAGAGAGUGGAGGAAGGAGGACACACUUCCAGAUGGCUUGCUUGUUCAUGCACGUGGUUAUGCACCGGGCAGGAACAGGGACAGCCAGAGGGCCAAGCUCAAACUGACAGCUAAAGAGCCCAGAGGGGCAGUCCUUGGGGGAGGCGGUGCCCACUGCCUGCCUUAUAGACCGUAUCCCUACCAUCACCUUGACUUACUUUCCGCUAUAUGUUAUUGGAGGGAGCAGUCCCUAGCCGUCCUAGAUUCAAAUGAGGGGUAUAGACCUCACCUCCCAAGGUGGAGUCAGUAACAGGGAACUGUGGGCCACAUUUAAAACCAUGACAGGCUAGUGAAUGGCUUUCUGGGAGAUUUAUGGGUGAAGGGAGGAGGAGAGUCUUGAAGAAGCCCAGAUUCAGUCAUUCUAAGCGUUUGUCACAAAUGGAUCUAUCAUCUGGGUUUCAAAUACAGCUCUCAGAUGACUGCUCUUCAAGAGGCUGG
rnacentral:lncRNA from 10 species